rnacentral:rRNA from 1 species
GAUGAACGCUGACAGAAUGCUUAACACAUGCAAGUCGAUGGGGAAGGGGUGCUUGCACCAUGGUAACCAUGGCGGACGGGUGAGUAACGCGUAAGGACCUUACCUGCGGGACCGGGAUAACAGCAGGAAACUGCUGACAAGACCGGAUAAGGUCAUUAAGCUGCAUAGCUUAGUGAUGCAAGGAGACGCCUGCGGAGAGCCUUGCGUCCUAUUAGCUAGUUGGAGGGGUAACGGCCCACCAAGGCGAAGAUAGGUAGCCGGCCUGAGAGGGUGGACGGCCACAAGGGGACUGAGAUACGGCCCUUACGCCUACGGGAGGCAGCAGUGGGGAAUAGUGGACAAUGGGGGCAACGCUGAUACAGCAAUUCUGUGUGCACGAAGACGGUUUUCGGAUUGUAAAGUGCUUUCAGCAGGGAAGAAGGAAGUGACGGUACCUUCAGAAGAAGCGACGGCUAAAUACGUG